UACGAAGGGGCUAGCGUUGUUCGGAAUUACUGGGCGUAAAGGGCGCGUAGGCGGUACUUCAAGUCAGGCGUGAAAGCCCCGGGCUCAACCUGGGAACCGCGCUUGAGACUGGAGAACUAGAGUUCGGGAGAGGAUGGUGGAAUUCCCAGUGUAGAGGUGAAAUUCGUAGAUAUUGGGAAGAACACCGAUGGCGAAGGCAGCCACCUGGACCGACACUGACGCUGAGGCGCGAAAGCGUGGGGAGCAAACAGG
rnacentral:rRNA from 1 species